CAGUAGCCGCGGGAAUACGAAGGGUGCAAGCGUUACUCGGAAUUACUGGGCGUAAAGCGUGCGUAGGUGGUGGUUUAAGUCCGUUGUGAAAGCCCUGGGCUCAACCUGGGAAUUGCAGUGGAUACUGGGUCACUAGAGUGUGGUAGAGGAUAGUGGAAUUUCCGGUGUAGCAGUGAAAUGCGUAGAGAUCGGAAGGAACAUCUGUGGCGAAGGCGACUAUCUGGGCCAACACUGACACUGAGGCACGAAAGCGUGGGGAGCAAACAGGAUUAGAGACCCCUGUAGUCCCUGUCUCUUAUAA
rnacentral:rRNA from 1 species